rnacentral:tRNA from 1 species
GCGGGAAUAGCUCAGUUGGUAGAGCACGACCUUGCCAAGGUCGGGGUCGCGAGUUCGAGUCUCGUUUCCCGUG